ACUGGGGGAGUACAACUUAGAAAUAGGUGCUAAUACCGCAUAAGCGCACGGAGCUGCAUGGCUCAGUGUGAAAAACUCCGGUGGUGCAAGAUGGACCCGCGUCUGAUUAGCUUGUUGGCGGGGUAACGGCCCGACCCAAGGCGACGAUCAGUAGCCGGCCUGAGAGGGUGGACGGCCACAUUGGGACUGAGACACGGCCCAAACUCCUACGGGAGGCAGCAGUGGGGAAUAUUGGACAAUGGGGGGAACCCUGAUCCAGCGACGCCGCGUGAGUGAAGAAGUAUCUCGGUAUGUAAAGCUCUAUCAGCGGGGAAGAAAGAAAUGACGGUACCUGACCAAGAAGCCCCGGCUAACUACGUG
rnacentral:rRNA from 1 species